GACAGAGGGUGCAAACGUUGUUCGGAAUUACUGGGCGUAAAGCGCGUGUAGGCGGCUCUGCAAGUCGGAUGUGAAAUCCCACGGCUCAACCAUGGAAGUGCAUUCGAAACUGCAGGGCUAGAGUCCUGGAGGGGAAGGUGGAAUGCUUGGUGUAGAGGUGAAAUUCGUAGAUAUCAAGCGGAACACCGGUGGCGAAGGCGGCCUUCUGGACAGUGACUGACGCUGAGACGCGAAAGCGUGGGGAGCAAACAGG
rnacentral:rRNA from 1 species